rnacentral:rRNA from 1 species
CACGUAGGGCGCAAGCGUUGUCCGGAAUUAUUGGGCGUAAAGAGCUCGUAGGCGGUCUGUUGCGUCCGCUGUGAAAACUCGGGGCUUAACCCCGAGCCUGCAGUGGAUACGGGCAGACUAGAGGUAGGUAGGGGAGAAUGGAAUUCCCGGUGUAGUGGUGGAAUGCGUAGAGAUCGGGAGGAACACCAGUGGCGAAGGCGGCUCACUGGGCCGGACCUGACGCUGAGGCGCGAAAGCGUGGGGAGCGAUCCGG